rnacentral:rRNA from 1 species
CACCUGAGUAUUAAGAGUUAUGUUCUUUAAAUUCAGAGAAUUUGGCGGUAUUUUAGUCUUGUUAGAGGAACCUGUUUUAUAAGUGAUACUACACGUAAUAUCUUGCUAAUUUUUGUUUAACAGUUUGUAUACCGUCAUUAUUAGAUAACUUUUAUAGAAUUAGUUAUUGUAAUUAAGGAUUUAAGUAUAUUAGAUCAAGGUGCAGCUUAUAAGUUAGAAGAAAUGGGUUACAAUAAAAUUUAUUUAGAAUGGAUCAGUGUUAAAAUUAGUAUUGUGAAGGUGGAUUUAAUUGUAAUUAAAAUUUAAUAAGUUUUUAUGAUAAGAGUACUAAAUUAUGUACACAUACGCCCG